GAUGAACGCUGGCGGCGUGCCUAAUACAUGCAAGUCGAGCGAACAGACGAGGAGCUUGCUCCCCUGACGUUAGCGGCGGACGGGUGAGUAACACGUGGAUAACCUACCUAUAAGACUGGGAUAACUUCGGGAAACCGGAGCUAAUACCGGAUAAUAUAUUGAACCGCAUGGUUCAAUAGUGAAAGACGGUUUUGCUGUCACUUAUAGAUGGAUCCGCGCCGCAUUAGCUAGUUGGUAAGGUAACGGCUUACCAAGGCAACGAUGCGUAGCCGACCUGAGAGGGUGAUCGGCCACACUGGAACUGAGACACGGUCCAGACUCCUACGGGAGGCAGCAGUAGGGAAUCUUCCGCAAUGGGCGAAAGCCUGACGGAGCAACGCCGCGUGAGUGAUGGAGGUCUUCGGAUCGUAAAACUCUGUUAUUAGGGAAGAACAAAUGUGUAAGUAACUAUGCACGUCUUGACGGUACCUAAUCAGAAAGCCACGGCUAACUACGUG
rnacentral:rRNA from 1 species